UACAGAGGUGGCAAGCGUUGUUCGGAAUUACUGGGCGUAAAGGGCGCGUAGGCGGCCUUCUAAGUCAGACGUGAAAUCCCCGGGCUCAACCUGGGAACUGCAUCCGAAACUGCCUUGCUCGAGUAUGGGAGAGGGAAGUGGAAUUUCCGGUGUAGCGGUGAAAUGCGUAGAUAUCGGAAGGAACAUCAGUGGCGAAGGCGACUUCCUGGACCAAUACUGACGCUCAGGUGCGAAAGCGUGGGGAGCAAACAGG
rnacentral:rRNA from 1 species